GACAUUGGCUGGAGCUGAAGUGAAGGCUGAUGGGAUGAUGCCCUGAUCCAGUUCAUGUGUGAUGAGAAACAGUUCAAGUGAACUAAUGAGGACGUUGCUGUGACUUUGACUACACACACUUGUUAUAUAAUGUUGGACCAGUAGGUGUCACUGUUGUCCAUGUACAUGGAGUGUUUCUGGCGUCUGGAGAAAAUCAGAAAAAUUAAUCAACUUUUUAACACUUUAUUAAAAAAUAUUAUAGAUUUUCA